AACGAACGCUGGCGGCAUGCCUAACACAUGCAAGUCGAACGAGACCUUCGGUUCUAGUGGCGCACGGGUGCGUAACGCGUGGGAACCUGCCCUUAGGUUCGGAAUAACUCCCCGAAAGGGGUGCUAAUACCGGAUAAUGUCUUCGGACCAAAGAUUUAUCGCCUUUGGAUGGGCCCGCGUUGGAUUAGCUAGUUGGUAGGGUAAAAGCCUACCAAGGCGACGAUCCAUAGCUGGUCUGAGAGGAUGAUCAGCCACACUGGGACUGAGACACGGCCCAGACUCCUACGGGAGGCAGCAGUGGGGAAUAUUGGACAAUGAGCGAAAGCCUGAUCAAGCAAUGCCGCGUGAGUGAUGAAGGCCUUAGGGUUGUAAAGCUCUUUUACACGGGAUGAUAAUGACAGUACCGGGAGAAUAAGCUCCGGCUAACUACGUG
rnacentral:rRNA from 1 species